UGGACAGCUCCUGGGUCAGUUGAUGAUCAGCUAAGACCAGAAAGAGGCCCAGACACUGCUUAACCGAUAGGUCUAGUUAAGCCCUUGGAGUCUGUUUAAACCACUCAGAGUGGGUCUGAGGAUUGGGACACAUCCACAAACUGUUGCCGGCAUAGGAUGAAAAAGGUACAAAAAUUGAGGCACAGCUAACCUAGAGAUGGCACCUGGAGCAUCUGGGAUUUUCAGGAGGAGCUGUUGCAACAGGGCUGGCUCAGGGUCAUCCCUCUACCCACCACCCAAGGCGGCAUCUCAGAUCCAGAUCACAAGACCAGCAUUCCCAGCUGUUAGACCCAUCUCUUCCCUAAACAAGGGGCUGGCUACACUCCAACAGUUAUUUGUGUUACCCCUACCCUGUGCCAGCCACCCUGCCCAAAGCCAUGGACAAAAUGAUGCUCAGACCUCAAGGAGUUUGUGGGCUGAAGAGGGAAGAGAGGCAAGAAAAGGAGGCAGUGGGAGGUAGUGCCAAGUUUGGACUGGGUCUGUCCGCCAGCUUACGGGAGGCAGAGGCUCCAGGAAUAAAUCCUGUCCGCAGGGAACAGUGCAUCUGCUCCGAGAUCUCACUGGGGUCCUCCCUCCCAGCGCAGAGGCCAAGAGGAGGGGGCCAAGCCAUCAUGGUCUCUCUGGAUUUGUUUGCUAAGGACAGUUGUAACAAAGUACAAGAGAUUUAUUGUCUCACAGGUCUGGGGACAGGAAGUCUGAAAUUGCGGGGUAGGCAGGGCUGGUUCCUUCUGGAGGCUCCAAGGGGAGUCUGUUCCGUGCCCCCUCCCCACUCUGGUGGCUGCCGGCUGGCCACACCAUUCCUUGGCCUUGGCUCACAGCUGUGUCACUGCAGUCUCUGCCUCCCUCUUCACAUGGCCUUCUCCUGGUGCCUGCUUCUAAGGACAACAGUCGUUUUGGAGUAGGGCCCAUCCUGCUCCAGGGUGACCUCAUCCUCACCAUCUGCAACAAUCCUAUUUCCAAAUAAGGCCACAUUCUGAGGUUCUGGGUGAGCAUGAAUUUGGGAAGGACUCUCCUCAACCUGCUACCAUCUCUGUAGGGACCGUGGCUGGUGCUCCCAGAGCCUCUUGCCUUGCACUGUGACUGUUGCCGGCAUUAGGCAGUGAGCAGAUAGAGAAUUUGUGGGAUAUGAGCAGAGUUGGAUGGAGCAGGGACCUCUUGACAGGUCUCCAAGAACUAGAGAAGGCCAGGAGGAGUUCCUGGACCUAAGACGGGAAUUGGGAGGGGACUGGGAGCAUGUGAUCCAGGCCUGUGGUGGGGACCAGGUUAGAAACGGGGCCGAUGCCACGGGCCCAACUUUCCAGACAGCACCUGAGAAACCCUGGCGACGAGCGGGAUUUGGCACUGCCCUUUGACUUCUCUUGAAAGGGUGGCUCUUAGCAAACCAACUUACUUUAGGGCCCCUCCAAUUCUCCCUCCACAUAUAGCUAUUAAAACUGCCCUGAGCUCUAUUUCCACACCAAUGAAGGUAAAGAGCUUAUUCGACUUUCGGGGUCGGGGGGAGAGGAGCCAAGUUGGUAUCAUGGUGACAAUGGCCAAGCCUCCCAAGACCCACUGCAUGUCUGGGCUAUCUCAGGGUAGCCCUGAGAAAGUUCAGUGAAUUUAAUUUAAUGCAGCGAACUUAAAGCAACUUUCUUUUGAAAAUGCACUGGGUGUUUUGAAAUUUAAACGUAGGUUGGGUCCUCCUAGUACUCUGGGGCAUUUAGAAAGACAAUAUCUUGAAAAGAAUCUGAAUACAGAGUAGUCACCAUUCUAAAAGGCAGCCUUCGACGACUCCAAUUCAUUCAUUCUUUCGACCAUGCAAUAAAUACCAAUGUCACGCUAUGUGCCAGGCAGUGUUGUAGCUGCUGGGGACAGAGCAGGGGACAGUGCAGGUGCAGUGUCUAUCCUCAUUCCAGCUGCAAUCACAGGAGAGAGAUGUUGAGAAUCAGUAACAUGAAUGGGCUUUUGAGCAUCAUCCGUGCUCAGGGGAAAAAUCAGGCAUGACAGGGGUGGGAAAGUGUGCAGGCCACAAGGCCAGGGGACGAUUGCAAGUAGGAAUGUG